CCGCGGUUGAACCGCACAAACACUGCAGCACAGGUGAGGCUCUAACUUCACACUCAAGCAGAUUUCAUGGUUUUACUUCUUACGGCCUGUUGGGUUCAUAUAGCUCUAGUCGGUCUCAGGCAGGACCAGAACCAGAACCAGGUGAGGGCGUUCAGCCGGAUCAGAACCUGGUUCUGUUUCUGAUCCGGAUGGCUUCAGUUCAUUCUGAUGUUUCUUUGUGUUUUUAAUGUAUUUGUUGUUUGAACUUUGAUCAAUGAUUGGUUCUCUGGUAGCCCCGCCCCCUGACACACCUGGACCGGCAGGUUCUGCUUUAAGAACUACAACAGGAAGACAUUUCAAUAUUCGCUCAGCUUCACCUGCUCUGUGUUCUGAUUGGCUGGUUCCUUCCUGGAGGCGGCUGACAUGAUGCUGCCAUCACCUAAUCGCUCUCCCUCUCCUGCUGUUUCUACUUUCAUGAACAUCA